rnacentral:piRNA from 1 species
UAAAACUAACACUGGGUGGAAAAUGUUGC